ACUGCUCAGUAACACGUAGUCAACAUGCCCAGGGGACGUGGAUAACCUCGGGAAACUGAGGAUAAACCGCGAUAGGUCAUAAUGUCUGGAAUGAUUUAUGGCUAAAAUCUACAUGGCCCCUGGAUUGGACUGCGGCCGAUCAGGCUGUUGGUGAGGUAAUGGCCCACCAAACCUAAAACCGGUACGGGCUCUGAGAGGAGAAGCCCGGAGAUGGGCACUGAGACAAGGGCCCAGGCCCUAUGGGGCGCAGCAGGCGCGAAAACUCUGCAAUAAGCGAAAGCUUGACAGGGUUAUUCUGAGUGAUUUCCGCUAAGGAGAUCUUUUGGCACCUCUAAAAAUGGUGCAGAAUAAGGGGUGGGCAAGCCUGGUGUCAGCCGCCGCGGUAAUACCAGCACCCCGAGUGGUCGGGACGAUUAUUGGGCCUAAAGCAUCCGUAGCCGGUUCUACAAGUCUUCCGUUAAAUCCACCUGCUUAACAGUUGGGCUGCAGAGGAUACUAUAGAGCUAGGAGGCGGGAGAGGCAAGCGGUACUUAGUGGGUAGGGGUAAAAUCCGUUGAUCCACUGAAGACCACCAGUGGCGAAGGCGGCUUGCCAGAACGCGCUCGACGGUGAGGGAUGAAAGCUGGGGGAGCAAACCGGAUUAGAUACCCGGGUAGUCCCAGCUGUAAACGAUGCAGACUCGGUGAUGAAUAGGCUUCGUGCCUAUUCAGUGCCGCAGGGAAGCCGUUAAGUCUGCCGCCUGGGGAGUACGGUCGCAAGACUGAAACUUAAAGGAAUUGGCGGGGGAG
rnacentral:rRNA from 1 species